rnacentral:rRNA from 1 species
AGUUCGGAUUGGAGUCUGCAACCCGACUCCAUGAAGCUGGAUUCGCUAGUAAUCGCGCAUCAGCCACGGCGCGGUGAAUACGUUCCCGGGCCUUGUACACACCGCCCGUCAAGCCAUGGAAGCCGGGAGUGCCUGAAGUACGCGACCGCAAGGAGCGUCCUAAGGUAAAACCGGUGACUGGGGCUAAGUCGUAACAAGGUAGC